CUCGUAAAUCUGAACACUUUCUUUUGAGAAAGCUGACUGACUAAUCUUCUGUAAUGCUAUUAUGAGGAUUGCCCUUUGAGGUUCAUAGCAAUAGGUCACCCUAUGGUUGGUCACAUGCAUUUGCGAG
rnacentral:ncRNA from 1 species